rnacentral:rRNA from 1 species
AUUGAACGCUGGCGGCAGGCCUAACACAUGCAAGUCGGACGAGCGGCGGACGGGUGAGUAAUGUCUGGGAAACUGCCUGAUGUCGGGGGAUAACUACUGGAAACGGUAGCUAAUACCGCAUACCAUCCGAUGUACCCAGAUGGGAUUAGCUUGUAGGUGGGGUAACGGCUACCCUAGGCGACGAUCCCUAGCUGGUCUGAGAGGAUGACCAGCAACACUGGAACUGAGACACGGCCCAGACUCCUACGGGAGGCAGCAGUGGGGAAUAUUGCACAAUGGGCGCAAGCCUGAUGCAGCCAUGCCGCGUGUGUGAAGAAGGCCUUCGGGUUGUAAAGUACUUUCAGCGGGGAGGCGUUACCGGCAGAAGAAGCACCGGCUAACUACGUGCCAGCCGCCGCGGUAAUUC